rnacentral:rRNA from 1 species
AGUGAACGCUGGCGGUAGGCCUAACACAUGCAAGUCGAACGGCAGCACAGUAAGAGCUUGCUCUUACGGGUGGCGAGUGGCGGACGGGUGAGGAAUACAUCGGAAUCUACUUUUUCGUGGGGGAUAACGUAGGGAAACUUACGCUAAUACCGCAUACGACCUACGGGUGAAAGCAGGGGAUCUUCGGACCUUGCGCGAUUGAAUGAGCCGAUGUCGGAUUAGCUAGUUGGCGGGGUAAAGGCCCACCAAGGCGACGAUCCGUAGCUGGUCUGAGAGGAUGAUCAGCCAGACUGGAACUGAGACACGGUCCAGACUCCUGCGGGAGGCAGCAGUGGGGAAUAUUGGACAAUGGGCGCAAGCCUGAUCCAGCCAUACCGCGUGGGUGAAGAAGGCCUUCGGGUUGUAAAGCCCUUUUGUUGGGAAAGAAAAGCAGCAGGUUAAUACCCCGCUGUUCUGACGGUACCCAAAGAAUAAGCACCGGCUAACUUCGUG